AUCUAGGAGAAGACAUCUUGGUUAGUUUCACCUGUUCUUUUGAGAGGCUAAAACACAGUGAUGGGGGAACGCAUCACAGUCAGAAGUAUCAAUGAGAUUCAUAUGAGGGGUACAAAUCAGGGAAAUCUGCUGGCGUUCACAGUGGGGUGGUUGGGGGCUUAGUAAAGAGAACAUUGCACAAAGUGGAAUAAACAUUUUAAUCCAAAUUCUCUGAAACUUUAGGAUCUCAUGCCUCAGUCACCUGUAUUUUCUUUAACAUCUCUCACAGUGGCUAGGAUGUUAUUAGGUAAUGACACUUCCUCUCCUAUCAGGUUUUCGAAGACAUAUAUGAUGUGAAGAAAUAAUUAACAACAGUGAUGACGGGCCUGACUUGGCUACUGAAUGGACCACAAGGCUGAGUCCGUUCCUGGGGAGAUUUCCCUUUUCCACGCUUCAUCUUCAUAGAGUCAGAAUUCCAGAAUCACCAGCACUUGGUGUGGAAAGGGAUCUCAGGAGGUGAUGUGCUCAGAACUCACUGCCCUCAGUCAGCUCAGGUGUUAGGUGAGUUCCAGGCCCCCUGAUAGGGGGAACGAAAGAAGGAUCAGCAGGGCCAGAGCCAGUGCUUCUAAAUUCACUUAGAACCUUCAUGUGGGGAGAAAGGACCACCAACUAGUACUGAUUCUGUGCUAGCUAAAUGGAUACCCUAUUCCACAUAUGUGACCUUAUGUCUGCAAUAACUGAGUAGGGUGUAAUUGUUCCCUAUGGGCGGAUGAUGACUGUAUUGCUCAGAAAAUGUAAGGAAUUUACCCAUAUUCAUGCAACUAGUAAUGAAAGAACUGGGGUUAAAGUCCAGUCUGUGAUAGCGGAAGCCCACGCUCUUACACCCCUGCCCACUCUGUCUCAGGGCUUUGACCUUGGGAUUCUUGCUCUAUAUUUAUAUCUUAGAGGAGGGAUAGAGAACUGAGUAAGCGCAUGAACCAUUGAUUCAAAUGGGUUGGGUUGAAUCCGCAGAUAGAGCUGUCUGGCUUUGUACAAGGGACUUAAUUAAUUGUAGCUCACUGCCCUCAUCUGUAAAGUGAGGGAAAAAUAUUGUAUCACCUCCUAGGAGUAUUAGAAGCAGUAAACAGGAUAUGUAGGCAAGACACAGCACAACACCUUGUGUAUACAGAGCUCUCAGUUAGUGUCAGUUCAUGUAUUAGGUACCAGCAAGGGCUAAAACUUAAAAAAAAAAAUCUACAAACAACUUGAUACUACGUUUCCCUAGUCAUUAGAAACACAAGCCACACAAGUGGAGGAAAUCCACUGUUGAAAUAAUUCGGAACCUAUCACUGCACCCCCUAAUUUAGAGUCACGUCACACCAAAACCAGCAUUUACUGUGUUAAGGUGACUCCUAGGAAAUGAUGAUAGAUUUACUUAAACUAUCACUCAGUCUAUUUCUGCAGCAUCCAGACAUUCUGGUUUUUCUCCCUUAAACCAAGGAAGUUCAAAAGUUCAGUUUAUCCAGAGGAAAAAAAUGUGCUGCAGCCUGACAUAAAGGCAAACCUAGACAAAAACUUACCACUUCCUUUUUUCACGCAGGCAUGUGUAGUGACCUCUACAAGAAAUAAGAGCAAGUAUUAGUGAAUUGUUUAUAUCCAUUAUUUGACAGUGUGCAUCUCUGUGUGUGUCUCUGGAUAGACAGACUGAUAGAAUCUGCCAAGAGAGGAGAGAAUCAUUAAAAAUAAGAUGCCUACAAUCUGGGAAUAGAUGGUCUGGUUCAAUGUAAUUCAGUAGAUCUAGUGCAUAUACUGUUUUCUGUAUCUGAGGACGUUCAAGUUCAUGAAGGGUACAUUUUUGUUUUUCUUUAUUACAACUGGAGGGUAAUAUCCAAGACCAUCUUGGUUUCCUUCUGUGUUCGCAUCUCCUACACCCCAAAGCGUUCAGGAAAUACUGUCAAACGACAAAUCGUCAGAAAAAGCGGCUGCUCUACAUCUUCAGCGCCCACUGCUGACAUGAAGGGAUGCUCCCCAAACGGAUGCAUCCAAUCCCAAAAUCUACAACAGAAUCUCAUGUUUGAAGGAGUCUGGCUUAGGUAAAUUUCCCAUCAAAAAAAAAAAGAAGUGAAACCUUUCCAGAUCACACAUACCCCCAGUAUCCCCAACUCAUGUAUGUGAUUUUCUGCAGUUGUGGAGUUUGUGGACAUCAGGAUAACAAUAUAAAUGAGGCUAAUAGCUAGCGAGUGAUUAUUACUGUGCCAGGUACUUGCUUAAAUACUUCAUAUGCACUAUCUCCUUUAACUCCCCAGUGACACUGGAGUGAGUUGUAUUUGGGGGUAUUGCACGGUACAAAAGAGGAAUAAAGAUUAGAGGAUAAGUCAUAUCAGUGAUGACAGAGUGCAUUCAAAGGAUGGUCAUGGGGGAUUAAAUGAGAUAGAGUAGGUGGGAAGUACUUUGUAAAAAAUAAUCCAUAGAAAUAAAGAGAAAUUAAUCUAUAGAGAGACAACAUAAUUCCACCAUGGUGGACACUGAAAACAUCUUCUUUUCCAGAGAUCUUAAUUAUUCUUAACAAAUGAAAUAUUUAUUACAGGAGCUCAGCAUUUCAGUUCAAUUCUUUCCAGGAUAGAGAGAGAGACCAAAUCAUAUUUCUAGUUAAUAUGAAAACCUGAGGUGAAAGGUGUAUUUAUCUACAAUGAAAAAAAAAAGGCAAACAUUCAUACAAAAACAAAAUUUCUUUAAAAAAAUAAUAGACUGUUGGAUGGAGGAAAUCAGAGACACUGAGGUUGUUUGGUUUAUCCUUUUUCUCCUACAUUCAUACAAAAACAAAAUUUCUUUAAAAAAAUAAUAGACUGUUGGAUGGAGGAAAUCAGAGACACAGAGGUUGUUUGGUUUAUCCUUUUUCUCCUAGGUGUGUUUUUGUACAUAUGAUAUGGUUCUAGUUUAUGAUAUGGUUCAGGGAGAUCUUUAGUUGGUUUGCUCUAAAAAAAUGGCUUCAAGGUACAAGUAUCCCCUAUUUUUCAAAAGUUUACGCCACUUCGCUUUUACGAAAGACCUACAUUAGUACCUGUUUUUGCUAACAGAAAGAAAUCUGAAGAGGAUUUUCACUUUUACGAGAAAAGGUUAAAAGCAAAAAUAGCAUUUAGUGUUUGUUUUGCAGCCAGCCAUGAUAGAGGCAGCGGGCGCUCCAGCAACAAGAAGAGCAUCGCCAAGGGACUACACUCAGCAUUUCAGCAUCAAGCUGCCAUAGCUCUGAACUGUUAUCUCCCCAGGACAAAGCCAAGGCAAGUGCUCGGGUGUAAUUUGAUCAUUGGAUGAACUCACGAUCUGAGAAGAUAAAGACUUGCUUCAGAAAUUCAGACUGCUACACACCAAAAUCUCUGCACAGUUUUGUUUUAUGCUUGGUUGCCACUGCUUAAAAAGUUUUCCUAACCACAGAGAAAAGAAGUGAUAACAAAAUGGUUUCUUCUGAUGGGCACUCUGGGUCCUUUGGUCUGUUAGGUGAACACUCAGGUCAUUAAGUCCCGAGUCCAGUGAGUUACAGGACCACUGCCAGGGCCAAGGUACAGCCAGCCCUCUGCCCACACUGUGUGGAUAUGCACAACAUCUGCAUCAAAGGGUCUCCUUUGGGACAUCAUGCCUGAAUCAUGAGAGGCCCUGAGUGAUUAGGAAAAGUGUAUAUUCUCUUUACUGUACUACAUCCUUCUGGGACAGUAAUUCACCCGAGAGUGUUCAUCCACACAUCCCUCCAGGCCCGGCACGUGCUAGGGCUGCAAGAAAAGUUUCUUGAGAGGCGUUUACCAAUGGCAAGAAAUACAUUCAUUAUGUAAAAUGGGAGUAAGUCUGUACACUUUAGGCUCACCCAAUCUUCAAUUACAAAAUUUUAGCUUAAGUGGUAGGUAAAACACAAACCUCAAAAACCUAAGACCAUAAUAAACAUGCAGCAGUAAUUAUUCUACAUUUUGUUGAGCCAUGAUCUGGCUUCCUCAUACGAACACCAUUUUGUCAUUUAAUAACUCAUUAUCUCUGGGUUAUACUUUGAGUAAAGUAAGAGUGAAGGGAGAGGAACUCUGCUUGCUGAGUGGAACCUUCUUGAAAGAUGUGUGAUUGUUCUUAUUUCCUGAUCAAGUAAGGUCAUCAAAAAUGGAAUCUCUCUUUGUGCAUUUAUUGUGUGCUAAAUUGAUAGGUACUUUGACAUGCGUUGUUUCAUUUAAUCUAUACAGCAACCCUAAAAUACAUCAUUGUGACCUUUAUAUUUCAGAUGAUAAAACUGAGCUGAAAAAGCUUCAGUAAAUUUUUUUCUUUUUUAUGCUUCAAAGCCAAUACAAUUUUAAUUUUGUGGGGAAAUAGCAGGACAUUUAUGCUACCAUUAAAUGUAACAACAUUUAACAAUU